UACGUAGGGGGCAAGCGUUGUCCGGAAUUAUUGGGCGUAAAGAGCGCGUAGGCGGUCCGAUAAGUCGGCUGUGAAAGUCAGGGGCUCAACCCUUGAAAGCCGGCCGAUACUGUCGGACUAGAGUCCGGAAGAGGCAAGUGGAAUUCCCGGUGUAGCGGUGAAAUGCGCAGAUAUCGGGAGGAACACCAAUGGCGAAGGCAGCUUGCUGGGACGGUACUGACGCUGAGAAGCGAAAGCGUGGGGAGCGAACAGG
rnacentral:rRNA from 1 species